GACGAACGCUGGCGGCGUGCUUAACACAUGCAAGUCGAACGGAAAGGCCCCUUUGGGGGUACUCGAGUGGCGAACGGGUGAGUAACACGUGCGUAACCUGCCCUUGACUUCGGGAUAACUUCAGGAAACUGGGGCUAAUACCGGCUAGGAAUCCUCGCUGCAUGGUGGGGGUUGGAAAGCUUCGGCGGUUUUGGAUGGACUCGCGGCUUAUCAGCUUGUUGGUGGGGUAGUGGCUUACCAAGGCUUUGACGGGUAGCCGGCCUGAGAGGGCGACCGGCCACAUUGGGACUGAGGUACGGCCCAGACUCCUACGGGAGGCAGCAGGGGGGAAUAUUGCACAAUGGGCGGAAGCCUGAUGCAGCAACGCCGCGUGCGGGAUGACGGCCUUCGGGUUGGAAACCGCUUUCAGCAGGGGCGAAGCUUGUGGUGACGGUACCUGCAGAAGAAGCACCGGCUAACUACGUG
rnacentral:rRNA from 1 species